rnacentral:rRNA from 1 species
AUUGAACGCUGGCGGAAUGCUUUACACAUGCAAGUCGAACGGCAGCACGGACUUCGGUCUGGUGGCGAGUGGCGAACGGGUGAGUAAUGUAUCGGAACGUGCCCAGUCGUGGGGGAUAACGUAGUGAAAAUUACGCUAAUACCGCAUACGAUCUAUGGAUGAAAGCGGGGGAUCGCAAGACCUCGCGCGAUUGGAGCGGCCGAUAUCAGAUUAGGUAGUUGGAGGGGUAAAGGCCCACCAAGCCAACGAUCUGUAGCUGGACUGAGAGGACGACCAGCCACACUGGAACUGAGACACGGUACAGACUCCUACGGGAGGCAGCAGUGGGGAAUUUUGGACAAUGGGCGAAAGCCUGAUCCAGCCAUUCCGCGUGCAGGAUGAAGGCCCUCGGGUUGUAGACUGAUUUUGUACAGAACGAAAAGGUUUCUACUAAUACUAGGAGCUCAUGACGGUACUGUAAGAAUAAGCACCGGCUAACUACGUGCCAGCCGCCGCCGUAA